GCUGGCACAGUGAUGAUAAUUCUUUGCCAUUUACCCAACUGAUUUUUUUGAUGAGUAACAUCGUAUCUGACGUGCCAGC
ensembl:snoRNA